UCAGUAAGAUUUGUCACUCGG
ensembl:piRNA 21ur-13410 ncRNA